UCCCUGGUGGUCUAGUGGUUAAGACUCUGCACUCCCAAGGCAGGGGGCCUGGGUUUGAUCCCUGGUCAGGUAC
rnacentral:tRNA from 1 species